UCCAUUUUUGUGAGGCCUCACCUGGAGCACUGCAUCCGUGUCUGGGGGCCCUAGCAUAAGAAUUAAUUCAGUGGAGAUUGGUGGAUAUUCUCAGAGGGCUGGUUCUUGUUAUUAUUAUUCUUUUUCCUAUAAUUAUUAAUUGGUUUCUAGAAAAGUGUUUUUUAAAAAAAAUGUUUAACUUGUAUUAAAUUUAAAUCUAUGAAGAAUUGACUUCAGGACAGUGAAGAAAAUUUUUUGUUUAAACCAGCAAUGAGAGACAAAGUGGAUUCUCUUAUUAAGGUGAUAAUAGCUGAAUGGCAGUGAAGAAUCACUUUAAUAAAAGCUGACAACGUAAGGAGACAGAACUUGGGACUUUCAGUCAGUUUACCACAGCCUUCAGUCUACUUCAGGAGAGGAGUCCCUCUUGCUAUGCGAUGGAGACAUUCCCAUAAGAAACAGUUUUCUCAUGGCCUUAAAUGUCACAGUACAUCAGCCACCCAGGAAAGGAAAAUCUAUUCGCAGCAUGGAAAGUCCUCAUGCUUUGCACCCUUCCCACAGCUGCUUUCAUGGGCCAUGCCAGUUAUUGGGGUGCUGUUUCAGGGAUGAGUUGUUCUAGCAUAAAAUAAAAAAGUUCUCUUCAUCUA